UUUAACGGCCGCGGUAUCAUAACCGUGCAAAGGUAGCGUAAUCACCUGUCUCCUAAAUAGAGACCUGUAUGAACGGCUAACUGAAGGUUUUACUGUCUCCUUUGGCCAAUCAAUGAAACUGAUCCCUCAGUACAAAAGCUGAGAUGAUUACACAAGACGAGAAGACCCUGUGGAGCUUCUAAACCUACCACUAUUAAAAAACUAGCCCUAAAUGGUAUAACAUUCCCCCGAUAGUAUAAAUUUUAAGUUGGGGCGACUGCGGAGAAAAAAGAAACCUCCAUGAAAUCGGACUAGCCCACGCCCGCGCGGCCUACAAGCCAAACAAACACACACUGACCCAGUAACACUGAAAAUCGAACCAAGUUACCCCAGGGAUAACAGCGCCAUCUCCCCCAAGAGUCCAUAUCGCCAGGGAGGCUUACGACCUCGAUGUUGGAUCAGGACACCCAGGUGGUGUAGCCGCUACCAAAGGUUCGUUUGUUCAACGAUUAAUGUCCUACGUGAUCUUCAACGAUUAAUGUCCUACGUGAUCU
rnacentral:rRNA from 1 species